ACUUCGAUUCUUGUGGAAUUCUGUUCAAAGCUGGCGAGAGUCUGCAUGUCACACUUUCAGGUUAAGCCUGUUGCAUUUUAUGGCUGUCCUCGAGAGAGGACAUGGGUGGCUUUGCAUCGUUACCAACGAAUGAUCCGUAGACACACUCCAAGAUGGCGUCUAAUUAAAUUAUAAAUGUACGUUAAAGUAUUAU